AAGCUUUUGCGGUUUGGGAGUGGGCUGCGGCCUAUCAGCUAAUUGGUAAGGUAAUGGCUUACCCAAUGCGAUGACGGGUAGCUGAUGUGAGAGCAUGAUCAGCCUCGAUGGGACUGCGACACGGCCCAUACUCCUACGGGAGGCAGCAGUGAAGAAUCUUCCGCAAUGGACGAAAGUCUGACGGAGCAACACCGCGUGGAGGACGACGGCCUUCGGGUUGUAAACUCCUUUUCUGAGGGAACAAGUAUGAGGGUACCUCAGGAAUAAGGCGCUGCUAACUACGUGCCAGCAGCAGCGGUAAUACGUAGGCGCCAAGCGUUAUCCGGAAUUACUGGGCGUAAAGAGUCUGUAGGCGGCGGAUAAAGUCGAGUGUUAAAUUUUCAUGCUCAACGUGAAAAAUGUACUCGAAACUUAUUUGCUUAGAGUCUGAGAGAGGCUACUGGAAUUCCCAUUGAAGGAGUAAAAUCCGUAGAUAAUGGGAGGAACACCAAAAGCGAAGGCAGGUAGCUGGAUCAGGACUGACGCUGAGAGACGAAAGCGUGGGUAGCGAACAGGAUUAGAUACCCUGGUAGUCCACGCCGUAAACGAUGAGUGCUAGGCGUUGGAGAGUCAUUUCGACCCUUUCCAGUGUCUAAAGUUAACACGUUAAGCACUCCGGCUGGGGAGUACGAGCGCAAGCUUAAAACUCAAAGGAAUAGACGGGGGCCCGCACAAGCGGGUGGAGCAUGUGGUUUAAUUCGACAAUAAGCGAGGAACCUCACCUG
rnacentral:rRNA from 1 species